rnacentral:rRNA from 1 species
CCUACGGGCGGCAGCAGUGAGGAAUAUUGGUCAAUGGUCGAGAGCCUGAACCAGCCAAGCCGCGUGAGGGAAGACGGCACUAUGGGUUGUAAACCUCUUUUGUCGGAGAACAAAACCUGGGACGCGUCCCGGGCUGCGUGUAUCCGAAGAAAAAGCAUCGGCUAACUCCGUGCCAGCAGCCGCGGUAAUACGGAGGAUGCGAGCGUUAUCCGGAUUUAUUGGGUUUAAAGGGUGCGUAGGCGGUCUGUUAAGUCAGCGGUAAAAUUGCGGGGCUCAACCCCGGCGCGCCGUUGAAACUGGCAGACUUGAGUUGGCGAGAAGUACGCGGAAUGCGCGGUGUAGCGGUGAAAUGCAUAGAUAUCGCGCAGAACUCCGAUUGCGAAGGCAGCAUGCCGGCGCCAGACUGACGCUGAGGCACGAAAGCGUGGGGAUCGAACAGGAUUAGAUACCCGGGUAGUC